rnacentral:rRNA from 1 species
UACGUAGGGUGCAAGCGUUGUCCGGAAUUAUUGGGCGUAAAGAGCUCGUAGGCGGUCUGUCGCGUCUGCUGUGAAAACCCGGGGCUCAACUCCGGGCUUGCAUUCGAUACGGGCGGACUAGAGUUCGGUAGGGGAGACUGGAAUUCCUGGUGUAGCGGUGAAAUGCGUAGAUAUCGGAAGGAACAUCAGUGGCGAAAGCGGCUUCCUGGACCAGUACCGACGUUCAGGCACGAAAGCGUGGGGAGCAAACGGG